ACGGUUAUACGUGACGUAGCAGGUUUAACGCGACAGAAUCGUUGAGACGACGCAGCGACCGACAGCCUCGCGUUUGGUCUCAGUUCGCUUUUUUAAACACCGUCAAAACUCGUCUAGGGUUCGUUUAAGUGUCGGCGGUUCGUUCAUUUCUGUUCGAUAUGUGUGUUGUUGUUGUUGCCGCCAUGGCGACGGGAAAGAGAAAGGCGAAUACAAACAGAUGGAGGAGAAAGAAGUCGUGUGUGGGGAAAGCUGGAGCUCGGAAACACGUCAGGAGGUCACCGAGGAGACACACACGUCGUGUUCCCGACCCUGUGUGUGGACACAAGCUUCCAGCAGGAGCAAUGGCGCCCACAAACACCACACAGUACCUGAUGGAGCUCGUCUACAGUGAGCUGAACAUCACCGCGUCUCCACACGCACACACGUACUCUUACACGUCUGCCUACACGGACCAGGACACCAUGGACUUCCAGCGCCGCGACUUCGAGAGCGUUUUCUUCCGCAACGAGGUUUAAAGAAUCGACGCCAUUUUGACGGCCGCCAUCUUGGAAAGGGCAAAAAGGAAACACGAGAAAACCCUGAAGCUGAACCGAUUUAAAUCGGAUGCGAGCCGUGUAACUCAAGUUUGUUACCCACUUGUAUUAUGUUACUGUGUUUUACAAAGAUUUUGCUGACGCAUUGUAUACGUGCAAGGGUUCAUCUGUUGGCUCUCCUUGUCUCACAGUGACGCGCAGAAUCGACGCCAUUUUGACGGCCACCAUCUUGGAAAGGAAAAAAAAAACACACGAGAAUCCUAAAGCCGAACCGAUUUAAUUCCGAUCGACGCGCAUGCGCAGAAUCGAUGCCAUUUUGACGACCGCCAUCUUGGAAAGGGAAGAAAGGAGAAAAAAUAACACAAGAAAAUCCUGAAGCUGAACCGAUUUAAAUCUGAUCAACGCGCAUGCGCAGUGGGAGGCUCGUGGCUCUGCGUCAGAGUGUAAGCCCCGCCCACGCCUGCUCAGACACCUGGGCGCACAGGUAAACCUGCUCCACAAUGGUGUGUGUAUGCACUGUCUACAUGUCUGUGUGUUGUGGUGUUUUGCUGUGCCUGUGUUAGAGACUUUUUCAGGUCUGCUGCUCCACCGCUGAAGACUUUCAGCUGAACUUUCUGAGGUCAGAAGGUCAUGAGGCCAAAAGGCUCCCAGUCUUCAGACCUGGGGUAACUUUUUUUUAUCCUGGUCAUUGUACUCUGAUGCACUGUAUGAUUAUGGAGAUACAUGGGUUGUAUAAUUUGUAUAUAAAUGUGUAAAAUAUUAUCUAUUAAAAUUAUUUUGCUAACA